rnacentral:rRNA from 1 species
UACGUAGGGUGCAAGCGUUGUCCGGAAUUAUUGGGCGUAAAGGGCUCGUAGGCGGUCCAUCGCGCCGGGAGUGAAAAGCUGGGGCUUAACCCCAGUCCUGCUUCCGAUACGGGUGGACUAGAGGUAGGUAGGGGAGAACGGAAUUCCUGGUGUAGCGGUGAAAUGCGCAGAUAUCAGGAGGAACACCGGUGGCGAAGGCGGUUCUCUGGGCCUUACCUGACGCUGAGGAGCGAAAGCAUGGGGAGCAAACAGG